AGAACGAACGCUGGCGGCAGGCUUAACACAUGCAAGUCGAACGCUCGUAGCAAUACGGGAGUGGCAGACGGGUGAGUAACGCGUGGGAACAUACCCUCCGGUUCGGAAUAGCUCAGGGAAACUUGGAUUAAUACCGGAUACGGCUGAGAGGCGAAAGAUUUAUCGCCGGAGGAUUGGCCCGCGUUCGAUUAGCUUGUUGGUGAGGUAAUGGCUCACCAAGGCGAUGAUCGAUAGCUGGUCUGAGAGGAUGAUCAGCCACAUUGGGACUGAGACACGGCCCAAACUCCUACGGGAGGCAGCAGUGGGGAAUAUUGGACAAUGGGCGCAAGCCUGAUCCAGCCAUGCCGCGUGAGUGAUGAAGGCCCUAGGGUUGUAAAGCUCUUUUGUGCGGAAGAUAAUGACGGUACCGCAAGAAUAAGCCCGGCUAACUUCGUGCCAGCAGCCGC
rnacentral:rRNA from 1 species